rnacentral:rRNA from 1 species
UGGGGAAUAUUGCACAAUGGGCGCAAGCCUGAUGCAGCCAUGCCGCGUGUAUGAAGAAGGCCUUCGGGUUGUAAAGUACUUUCAGUCGGGAGGAAGGUGUCAAGGUUAAUAACCUUGGCAAUUGACGUUACCGACAGAAGAAGCACCGGCUAACUCCGUGCCAGCAGCCGCGGUAAUACGGAGGGUGCAAGCGUUAAUCGGAAUUACUGGGCGUAAAGCGCACGCAGGCGGUUUGUUAAGUCAGAUGUGAAAUCCCCGGGCUCAACCUGGGAACUGCAUUCGAAACUGGCAGGCUAGAGUCUUGUAGAGGGGGGUAGAAUUCCAGGUGUAGCGGUGAAAUGCGUAGAGAUCUGGAGGAAUACCGGUGGCGAAGGCGGCCCCCUGGACAAAGACUGACGCUCAGGUGCGAAAGCGUGGGGAGCAAACAGG